rnacentral:rRNA from 1 species
UGCGUAGGCGGCCUUUUAAGUCAGAUGUGAAAGGCUGCGGCUUAACCGCAGGACUGCAUUUGAAACUGGAAGGCUUGAGUGUCGGAGAGGGUAGUGGAAUUCCCAGUGUAGCGGUGAAAUGCGUAGAUAUUGGGAGGAACACCAGUGGCGAAGGCGACUACCUGGACGAUAACUGACGNUGAGGCACGAAAGCUAGGGGAGCAAACAGGAUUAGAUACCCUGGUAGUCCUAGCCGUAAACGAUGGGUACUAGGUGUAGGUGGUUUCGAUACCAUCUGUGCCGCAGUUAACGCAAUAAGUACCCCGCCUGGGGAGUACGGUCGCAAGACUGAAACUCAAAGGAAUUGACGGGGGCCCGCACAAGCGGUGGAGCAUGUGGUUUAAUUCGAAGCAACGCGAAGAACCUUACCAGGUCUUGACAUCCCUGGACAGCCAUGGAAACAUGGUGUUCCUUCGGGACCAGGAGACAGGUGGUGCAUGGUUGUCGUCAGCUCGUGUCGUGAGAUGUUGGGUUAAGUCCCGCAACGAGCGCAACCCUUGCCUUUAGUUGCCAGCAUUAAGUUGGGGACUCUAAAGGGACUGCCGGUGACAAAUCGGAGGAAGGUGGGGAUGACGUCAAGUCAUCAUGCCCCUUAUGAUCUGGGCUACACACGUGCUACAAUGGGUGGUACAGAGGGCAGCGAAGGGGCGACCCGGAGCGAAUCCCAGAAAGCCACUCUCAGUUCGGAUUGCAGGCUGCAACUCGCCUGCAUGAAGUCGGAAUCGCUAGUAAUCGCAGGUCAGCAUACUGCGGUGAAUACGUUCCCGGGCCUUGUACACACCGCCCGUCACACCACGAAAGUUCGCAACACCCGAAGCCGGUGGCCUAACCGCAAGGAGGGAGCCGUCGAAGGUGGGGCGGAUGAUUGGGGUGAAGUCGUAACAAGGUAACCGUA